UCAUCGACUUGAUACUUGACUUGGCAACGACGAGUACUCGAAAAAACGAGGCGAGUACGGGUCAAGUAGCGGGUAUAAGAAAAGUAGCGAGUAUUCUUGCCCAGUCCUAUGAUUCGGUCUGCUCGGUCUGCCUAAAAUCCCCAUUGUUUUCAUUUGCAGUCGACGCUAAUACAAAGUACUAUCACCGCACCUCGGCUCUACACUUUUAAAAAUCUACUCAGUGAAGGCGCUGUCUACGAGCUUAGUAUUUUCUAUAUUGCUAGAAGCAAUAACCACUUCAAACUGUGCGCCUCUCCUGUCUCUAUUCGAUUUACCGAGCAUUCCAGCUUUGUCGAGGUUGUCGACCCUGCGGAAAUAAUCAGGUUUUGCAAUUAUGAGCAGCUAAGGGCUCUCACUGACACCAACAUAGAUUUGUCCGAUAUUAUGGUCAGGAUAGGAGUAUAAACACCAUCUACAAUGACGAAAACGAGUCGAUACAGCGUGUUAUGAUCACUAUCCAGCUGGACAGUUUCGUAGCCGUCCCCUACACAAGCACCAUUAAGUUUUAAGUUUUUAAAGUUUUAUUUAACUUGAUAGAUGUUUCUUACUGAUAAACCUCAUCAACCUCUGCAGGUCAACCACUGUGUGUCAAUGUGUUUGAUAAGGUUGCAUGACAAGUUAGUCCUCUUGGAUGUGGAGACAAAGGUCAUGACUGCAACCAACAUAAAUUCCAAAUUAUUGUGCAGAUCAUUUAUUCCUCAAAACCACAUUAAGGACACACUUCUACUUUUAUCAUGGAAGCCAAACCACUCAGUGUUUCUUAAAAAGUCAGUUAUUUCUUCCUAUAAUUAGUUACUAUUUCACGAUUAUUACGGCGUUAGUUCCCACAUUAAACAUACAAAUGCAGGCUCUAUAGAGUAGAGAGUGAUUCCUCUGGUAUAUCUUCCAAAUAUGGUGGAGUUUCUUAUAUAGCACCACCCAAGUGAUGAUAUGGCUGUAGCUGUUAAACUUUCUAUGGUCCCAAAUCCAGUGGUGAAAAGCAUUUGUUCGGAUCACACAAACGGGCCAGAUGAUGUUCCAAUUAUUGAAGGAUGUCCAGCCAGCACCGACCCAGAGCCUGCACAUACUGAUUCAGUCAUGACCUCCACCGAGACUCCAGUUAAUGAUGAAAAGGCCCCCAGUUCAAUGUAAGCUCGCAAAUACUGAUCACUCCAACUAUGGAGACUUGGAAUUUGCAAAGUUCAGUCCCAUUGUUUGUUUCAAAGUUUUAUGUUUUCCUUCAAUAAUGCUGUAAUCCACAUACUUUUACUUGGCACCAAAAUGUUUUUAUGUACUUUAUCUUUUAUUUGGUACAAUGCCAUUUAAAUAGUUGAGUUUGUUAUGAGCAUUAUUUAAUUUAAAUUAUUUUUAAAUUA